CUUCAAAUUUUAAUUUAUUAUAAAUUUUUUCUCAAAGUUUUAAAAUUAUUAUAAUUAAAUCCUACAAUUUAAUUUAGUUGGUUAAAAAUUAGUGCCUUUUGUUGAUGUAAAAAAAAAAAAAAAAUUCUAAAUUAUUGUCUCAUUACCAUUAGCAAUCAUAAUAACACUACUACGUGACCCCUAUACUAGCAAUAUAUUAAUAUUUAAUCAACAAAAUUUGAUUAUAAUAUUUGAUUGCAAUAAUUCUGAAGUUCAACCGAAAAAUAACAAUAAAUAGGUAAUAAUAGUGGUAUAUCUCAAAAUGAGACUUGUAUAUUAAUUACGUCCUUUUCAUUCAAGAGCCAUCAUUUUCUACUUAUCAAAUUAUUUAUUUUAACACAAAUUCAUUUGAAUUUUCAUGAACUCCUGAAUUGCCGAGUAUAAGAUGUACGCCUCUAUAAGGA
rnacentral:lncRNA from 1 species